UCCGAGUUGACCCCGGCAGUCUCCCAUGAGUCCCCGGCAUAACCCGCUGGCAACACAGGACAAGGGUUGCGCUCGUUGCGGGACUUAACCCAGCAUCUCACGACACGAGCUGACGACAGCCAUGCAGCACCUCUGCAGCGACCUCCGAAGAGGGGGACUCAUCUCUGAGCCUUUCCACUGCAGUUCAAACCCAGGUAAGGUUCUGCGCGUUGCUUCGAAUUAAACCACAUGCUCCACCGCUUGUGCGGGCCCCCGUCAAUUCCUUUGAGUUUCAGUCUUGCGACCGUACUCCCCAGGCGGAGUGCUUAAUGCGUUAGCUGCGCCACCGACAAGUAAACUUGCCGACGGCUAACAUUCAUCGUUUACGGCGUGGACUAC
rnacentral:misc_RNA from 1 species